CUUGAGAAAUGUUAUUUUAGAAAUUCAAUUUGAUAGGUUUGCCAGUCUGGUCUUGUGGACUUCCUUCAAUCACUUUGAAUUUGUGAACUUAAUUGCAUGAUUUGCUUAGCUCAAAGUUUUUGCAGUCCAAUUAUUCUUAUAUGUUCUUCCUAAUUCUUUUCAGUUCAUUUAGUAAAUUGAUGCCAUUUUUUUGCUUAAGUGGAGAAUUGAGCCGUGAAUGUAAAAAAUAACUUAGGCUAGAAAGGCAGAUUUUAGAAAUUGAUAGUACUGUCAGACUGUAAUGUGUAUGAAUAGGAAAAAGUUAUCAUGUUAGUUUCUCAAAUCAUACCAUUUUCCUCCUAUUCCUUCAUGUUUAUUUCAUUCAUGAUGCUUUUGCACAAAAAAUGUUUUUGACAUUACAUUUUGUAGGCAUGAGUAAAAUUAUUGCCCUUGCACAUGCAAAUGCUUGGCAUAUGUGACUGAUUAGUUUGAUGACUUGUCUUUUGCACAAUAUUAAAUUUCCUGAUGGUGCAUCAUUUGACAGAAGUUGAGGCUACUGAAAGAUUCUAUGUUUUCUAAAGCUCAGACAACCAUAAAAAACUACGGGUUUAUGCAAUAUGGACUAAGUGAAGAAUUUCUUGGAUCAGUUAUGCAAAGGAGUUGCACACUGCCAUGGCCAUGGUAUCCUUCACCGAAGGGAAUACUAAAGAUUGCUGAUCUGGGACUCGGUAGGGCUUUCACUGUGCCCUAAAAGCUACACCCAUGAGGUACUGCUUACCAUUUGGAGUUGGAAGGCUCGAUGCAAUUUUAGUUUUUAAAGAAAUUUCUGGGCAUGAUCCAUUAAGCUCUUUAUAUUAUGUAUUUAUGUAGAUUGUGACACUUUUGGUAUAGAUCUCCUGAAGUUAUUUUUCUCUUAUCCUGUUGAAGGAACACUAGCACAUAACAUUUUGCUGCAA